rnacentral:rRNA from 1 species
UACGAAGGGGGCUAGCGUUGCUCGGAAUCACUGGGCGUAAAGCGCACGUAGGCGGGUCGUUAAGUCAGGGGUGAAAUCCCGGAGCUCAACUCCGGAACUGCCUUUGAUACUGGCGAUCUUGAGUUCGAGAGAGGUGAGUGGAACUGCGAGUGUAGAGGUGAAAUUCGUAGAUAUUCGCAAGAACACCAGUGGCGAAGGCGAUUCUCUGGACCAUAACUGACGCUGAGGCAUGAAAGCGUGGGUAGCAAACAGG